CACUGUGGUUUUGAGUGCCGAAUAGGGAUUUGCUAGAUUAAGAGAAAGUGAGUUGUCAUUAGCAAAGAGAUCAGCUUGAGCAAGAGAAUGCGUGUAGCGACCAGCAAGCAGUUUAAAGGCUGUGCCUAAAGACUAUUAGAGGGUGGAGGUGACUUGCAGUGGGGAGACUGCUUGUGAAAGUCACUCGAUUUGCAUGUCAAUCAACGUGGACUUUCCUCUGGCGACUGGAGAGCAAGGGAUUACAAGGUCUUCUGCCUAGCAGUUCAGUUUGGCCAACUGCUCAAGUGAAUGGAAGCAAGCUACUCUACCACAGUUAAACGAUUGCACGACGAAAGAAUUCUUAUCAAAUGCUUCAGGCUGCGUUAAGAUUGCCAGAAGUUUCAUCAAUGCUGCAAUUUUCCAGGCCAGCCAGAGCUAUACAGAGGUAACAAUUCUCAGUGAUGGAAUCUGGAAGACUCUCAAGCUCUUGUGCUGGAGACUGGAGACUGUUGUCUGAGGUCCUGCCCAGCUGUGGCCGCCUGUGGGCCUGUGUGGCGGGAGGCAGGCACUGUGCACUUCCAACCUCUCAGAGAGGAUCUGCUCACUGACACAGAGUUCAAUGAGAGAUUUUGGAGACCCUUUCAAGUGGAAAAGCCUGGCAGCAUCAGGUGGAGCCAUGUGGAAGAGGAAUUAGGUGCAAUGGGAGAAAGAUAAGUGAAGAGAACACCUGUAUCAAUCCUGUGCCCCUCCCCAAGGCUCAGGAAAUGUCCUGGAAGCAGGAUCUGAAAGAAUGCAAGAGCCAGAGGAUGGAGAGAAGAAGAGUUGGAAAAUGUUGUCUUCUUAAUAGGGCAUGGCUGCCACACUCACAAACUCAGAGCAAUUGUGGUUCCUGGAAGAGGCUCACGGAGCCCUACCCCUAGCUACUGACAGCCAACAGCUGCUGGUGGAUGGGGCAUAAUUUGGGGGGAUUGUCCAUGACAUACGGUAGUAGUCUCAAAAGUCACAUGCGUGAGGGCAGGGCUAACUAGAAUCACUGGGUCACACAAAGCAAAAUGAAGGCAUGGAGUUGAAAUGCCUUAGAGGGAAUAGGAAGAGGGAUGGAUACGAUCAAGUUUUUAUGCAUGUGCCACUAUUGAAGAAUAGAUAAAAACAUUCUUUAAAAAGGACAUAAUUAAUUGGCCAUUGGCAGAGCUGUAAGUUUUAUAUGUAGCCUUGCAGUUCCUUUAAGAGCUUAGAAAUAAGUGAGGCUGAAAGACCUUACCAAACUAUAAACACGGAAGCAGUCAUUGAGAAAAGCACGGCUGAGCUCAGGGUCUGAGGAGCUCGGACUCCUACACAGUCCCACUGCUGCUCAUUGCACGUAUCACUCAGUCUCCCUGAGUGGCAGUGCUUUUCAUUUGUGAAUGAGACCCCAGCAAAGAUCACAGGACGUUUUUUAUAAGAAUUCGCAUAUGAAUCUAAGUGCAAAUAUAAUGAGUUGCCUAAAAUAUAUGAAUAUAUCUGAAAAUAUACAUAACAAUGAGUAAAAAGUUGAGUGAUAAAAAUGUGGUAAAUAUGUUGUUGUAAGGCCAGGCAUGAAAGAUGGACGGUUCAUGCCUGUAAUUCCAGUACUUGGGAGGCAGAGCUGGAGGGUUGCAAGUUCUAGGCUAGCUUGGGUUGCAUACCAAGACCCUGUCUCAGUAAAAGAAAAUGAUUAAUUAAAAAAAAAAAUACAACAUUCACAUGCCUUUAAUUUCCAGCAAUCAGGAGGCAGAAGUAGAUGCAUUUCAGAGUUCUAUCUCAGUCUAUCUACAAUCUACAUAGUGAGUUCCAAGUCAGCUGGGGCUACAUAGUGAGAACCUGUCUUAAAACAAAUAAAAUAAAAAUUCUAGUAGACUGAACACAUGGAGUUUUAAUUUAAUGAAAAUCUAAGCUGCUGUAAACUUGGAGCCAUAUUUUUGUACCUUUGUGACUUUUGCUCUUUUCUUUUUCUUUUUUUUUUCUUUCUUUUUUUUUUAGGCAGGGUUUCUCUGUGUGGCUGUCCUGGAACUCUGUAGACCAGGCUAACCUUGAGCUCUGCCUCAGAGAUCUGCCUGCCUAUGCCUCCCAAGUGCUGGGAUUAAAGGCAUGCGCCAUCACCGCCCUGGUACCUUUUGUGCCUUUAUAAAGGGAAAGUAUAAUGACACUAAACUAGCACCCAGUGUUCAGCUGUAUCCUGACCUCAGGAGCAUGUCAUUUGACGGUCAGUGGGAUAUAGUAAGGUGCACUGACGUCUCCACCAAAGGAUCUGGAAGUUCUCUUAAUCUCUGAACCAUCUCCAAGUCUUAGAUUGUCUUUUUCCUUCAAGUUAUUUUAAAAUUGCAUUUAUUUGUGUGUGUGUGUGUGUGUGUACAAAUGUGCUAUGGAAACAGCAAGGGAGUUGGUUUUGUCUCUUACCGUGUGGGGACUGGGUCUUGAACUCAGGUCUUGGUUUGGUGAGAGCACCAUUACCUGCUGAGCUGCUCCACCCUUUCCCCUUUAUUUUGAGACAGGGUCUCAAAACAAACAGCAGGUAGACCUCAAACUCAACAUGUUCCUGAGGAUGAUCCUCCUACCUCCACUGCUGGUUGGGCUGCUGAUUGGGCUAGAGGCUGAUGGGUAAUUUAGUCAUUCUCCAGCUUCUCCUCCUGUUGGCAGCAUACUAGUUAAAGGCACCACAGUUUUCAGAAAACGUAUUGUGGAAAUACUCACUGUCAUUGAAAUAUAUUUUAGCUAAAUUCCAAAAUGGCAUGACUUUUUAAAAUUUAUCUGUAAUACUUAAAGAUAUAUUCUAUUUUUGCUGAAGAAAAAAAUACCCAAAUGAAAUCAACAAAGCUUACCUACUGUAAUCCAAACAUAAUAAUUUUGUUAUAUGAUACUAUAUAAAUAAUUAUGCAAAAAUGAUUACCUUUAUUUCCUUUUUGGAUUUAUAGAAAUGAGCAACUGCUUAGCCAUGUUGGCUUGUUUAUAAUGUGGUAUAGAAAUAUUACUGAAAGACUGGCCUUACAUUGGCCAUUGUACCAAUUCAACAAGAGUACCACAUUUCAAGAUCAGACAUAAUAAAGAAGUUUGGUAUAUAGUAUGCACUCAAACACCACCAGGAUAGCUCUUCCUUUCCUCUUAAAUGAGUAAGCUUUGGUCAAUUUUGGGCUUGGUUCCACCUUCAUUUAGAGUCAAGCUUCACAAUUUGACUUUUUGGAGACUUACAUGGGGGCAGCUCUGAAUGAGAAUUUGGAAGCACGGGUGUAUCUGUUUCCUUGUUAUUGCUGUGAUUAAACACGAUAAUCAAGACAACUUACAGAAGGAAGGGUUACAGUGGUUCUCAACCUUCCUGAUGCUGUGACCCUUUAAUAGAGUUCCUAGUAUUGUAGUGAUCACAACCACAAAAUUAUUAUCGCUGCUAUUUCAUAACUGCAAUUUUGCUCCUGUUAUGAAUUGUAAUAUCUGUGCUUUCUGAUGACCUUAGGUGACCCCUUUGAAAGAGUCAUUUGAUCCCCGAAGAGGGGGGGGUCCCACAGGUUGGAAACAGUUGAUUUAGGAUUUAUGGUUCCAGUGGGAUAAGAGUCCAUCACUAUCACAAUGGAGACAGCAGCUGGCAGACUUGGCAACUGGAGCUGGAAGCUGAGAGCUGAGGGCUCACAUCUCUAACCAUAAACAGGAAGCAGAUAGAGUGAAGUUAAAAUGGCAAGACCAUGCUUCCUAAGCCUCCCCAAACAGCUACCUACUGGGAACCAAGUAUUUAAAUGCCACGACUAUGGGAGAUACCUCAUUAAAAACAACCACAGUGAGUUAAAUUCUUUUUGCUGUGUAUUCAAAACAGUGUUUUCAACAUGAGCUUUGAGAAUGUUUGGGAGAGGCAUUCUAGCAUUCCACUUUAAGCCGGUGCCAAACACCAGACCCCUCUUAUAAAGAGAAGUAUUGUUUGCUUUACCAUGAAAGUUUACAUACAUGUGCAUGGAUGUAGACUGGCUCACUUGGGAAAACAUUGCAACUCAAUUUGUGGCUUAUGCUGACCCUUUCUGACCUGCUAUACGAGGUUCAAAUCUGCAUAUUUGAGUACUGGGAGGAAUUUUUGCCACGUCCAA